AACGGUCUAUACCUGCGGUACCUGCGGAAGGAUCAUUACCGAGUUAGGGUCUUCCUGGCCCGACCUCCAACCCUUUGUUUACUAUACCCAUGUUGCUUUGGCGGGCCUGCCUUUCGGGGCUGCCGGGGGCAUCACUGCCCUUGACCUGUGCCUGCCAGGAGCCUUCUUUAAAUUCUGUGUUCAACUGUGUUGUCUGAGUCCCAAUAUCAAAAUAUAAAAAACUUUUAACAAUGGAUCUCU
rnacentral:misc_RNA from 1 species